UACAGAGGUCUCAAGCGUUGUUCGGAUUCAUUGGGCGUAAAGGGUGCGUAGGCGGCGCGGUAAGUCGGGUGUGAAAUCUUGGAGCUUAACUCCGAAACUGCAUUCGAUACUGCGGUGCUUGAGGACUGGAGAGGAGACUGGAAUUUACGGUGUAGCAGUGAAAUGCGUAGAUAUCGUAAGGAAGACCAGUGGCGAAGGCGGGUCUCUGGACAGUUCCUGACACUGAGACACGAAGGCCAGGGGAGCAAACGGGG
rnacentral:rRNA from 1 species